rnacentral:rRNA from 1 species
GCGAUCCUAUCAGCACUAAUGCACAGGAUCCCAUCAGAACUCCGAAGUUAAACGUGCUUGGGCGAGAGCAGUACUAGGAUGGGUGAUCCCCUGGGAAGUCCUCGUGUUGAACCU